AUUGAACGCUGGCGGCAUGCCUUACACAUGCAAGUCGAACGGUAAUGGGCCUUCGGGUGCCGACGAGUGGCGAACGGGGGAGUAAUGUAUCGGAACGUACCUUUCAGUGGGGGAUAACGUAGCGAAAGUUACGCUAAUACCGCAUAUUCUGUGAGCAGGAAAGCAGGGGAUCGCAAGACCUUGCGCUGAUUGAGCGGCCGAUAUCAGAUUAGCUAGUUGGUGAGGUAAAGGCUCACCAAGGCGACGAUCUGUAGCGGGUCUGAGAGGAUGACCCGCCACACUGGAACUGAGACACGGUCCAGACUCCUACGGGAGGCAGCAGUGGGGAAUUUUGGACAAUGGGGGCAACCCUGAUCCAGCCAUGCCGCGUGAGUGAAGAAGGCCUUCGGGUUGUAAAGCUCUUUCGGCCGGGAGGAAAUCGUGUCAGCUAAUACCUGGUGCGGAUGACGGUACCGGCAUAAGAAGCACCGGCUAACUACGUGCCAGCCGCCGCAGUAAUAC
rnacentral:rRNA from 1 species